GAUGAACGCUGGCGGCGUGCCUAAUACAUGCCAGUCGAGCGAACAGACGAGGAGCUUGCUCCUCUGACGUUAGCGGCGGACGGGUGAGUAACACGUGGAUAACCUACCUAUAAGACUGGGAUAACUUCGGGAAACCGGAGCUAAUACCGGAUAAUAUAUUGAACCGCAUGGUUCAAUAGUGAAAGACGGUUUUGCUGUCACUUAUAGAUGGAUCCGCGCCGCAUUAGCUAGUUGGUAAGGUAACGGCUUACCAAGGCGAAGAUGCGUAGCCGACCUGAGAGGGUGAUCGGCCACACUGGAACUGAGACACGGUCCAGACUCCUACGGGAGGCAGCAGUAGGGAAUCUUCCGCAAUGGGCGAAAGCCUGACGGAGCAACGCCGCGUGAGUGAUGAAGGUCUUCGGAUCGUAAAACUCUGUUAUUAGGGAAGAACAAAUGUGUAAGUAACUAUGCACGUCUUGACGGUACCUAAUCAGAAAGCCACGGCUAACUACGUG
rnacentral:rRNA from 1 species